rnacentral:lncRNA from 14 species
AGGAAGGGGCACGAUGCGGCACUGCCUGCCUGGCUGGGGCCAUGCUGCCUUCGCACCCGCUCCUGGCAGCACUGGUUUGGCCUGGGGCUGCACCCAAUGCUCCAUGCAGCACUGCAUGGAGGUCCCAGACCCUCUCCAGGGCCUGUGCCCUGCCAAGGGCACAUGGAGGCAGCCCUGGGGGAACCGUGCCAGGCUCCAGGCCAUGGCAGCAGCCACCAAGCUCAUGUGGCACAGCCCCGCGCCAGCAGCUAUGUGCCAAGCCAGGGAGCAGCAAGGGGAACUUGGGAGAUGGGAUCUCGUGGCCAGAGCAGAGCCAGAGCUGGGGGGUUUCCAGGGUUUAAAAUACACACGGAGGGAAGGGCUGGGGCUGCACCCCAGCACCCGCACAGCCCAGAGCGAGGGCAGCACCUGCCCCUCAUCCAUCUGGGCAGCACCAGUGCCACAGGAGGUGCCCUCGUCCUUGGGGCGACCUGUGUGGAGCUCCCGAAACCCUGUCUGCCAGCAUCACACUGGGCAACAGAAACCUGGCCCCAAGGCAGGCCAUGGGGCAAGCUCAGGUCCUGAGCCUCACAACGCGGAUGCAGGCACCUACCAAGGCUGUGGUGUCCUACCAGCUCUGUGGUGUCCGUCCCUGCUCGGAGCCCUGCGACAAGCAGGAGCUGUGCUAACUAUUUUGGACAGGCACCACGGGACUGUCACAUCCCUGCUCCCUCCGCACAUCGCAUCACGUUGCUCUGAUGGCUCCACAGCAGCAGCUCUGCUGCCAUCCCUGUGCUGCCGGAGCUCCGGAGCCGCCUGCUCCCAAACACAGGAGCUGGCUGGCACCCAGCUCACCCUGCACCCUCCCUCUCCGCUGUGCAGGAGGGAAUGGGGCUGGAGACACCACGGGAAACAUGGAUCAAGGGCAAACCUGCUCCCUGUUUUGGUCCUCACCCCCGUGCCCGUCCGCAGGGCAGCAUCCCAGCCAAGCAGCUCCAUGGGGCCACACUCUGCUCCUGCCCCAACAAUGCCACCAGCUGCCCCACAUGGCUGUGGGUCCCAGUCAGUGGAGAUAAACCCCAUCCCUGCUGGCAGCCAGGAUAUGCACGCUGGGCAGCGUGGGGGCUCCAGCCCAUGCUGGGAAGCAGGACAGGAGCAGCCUGGCCUACCCGGCCAUGCAGGCUGCCCAAACGAGAAGGAUCAGGGCAGGUCCCUGGAGCGGGAUGUGG